UCAUUCAUUCUCUUCUUCUCUCCUCUUCGAAGCUCUGCUUUUUCCUCUGUUUUCCAUGUGUUUUUCGCUUCUUUAUCCUCAUUGAGCUCUGAACCCCUCUGUUUUGCCCUAAUCUGAUCUUUUAUAUCCCCGUUUUUUGUUCUGGUUCUCCGUUUUUGGUUCCUUUUUCUUGGAGCCAAGAGUCGGUUUGUAUCUCUCGUUCCUCAGGCCUGUACUUUGGUUUUAUUUUUUUAACCCCCAUUUUUGCUGGUUUAUUUUCAGUAGCUUGAUAAUGAAGGAAGAUGCGUUCUUUGUCCCUGCUCCUAAUGACCUACGCUGCGAAAAAACCAUUGGGGUGGGGAGGUGCAAGAACUGGCGCGUUCAUGAUAUGCUUAUUUGUGAAAAACAUUUAAAGAUGGAAAUCAAGGCAAAAGUAUCCAGAACUUCUGCAAAGAACAAGGGCUCACAAUGCAAGACCAGAGACCAAAUGGGAAACGGAUGUGCGGAUUAUGUUUCAGAAAAGCCGAAAAAGAAGGAGGUUGUGCAUCAAAAAAACAAGCAAGAGGAGGAGGUUCUGCUUGAACAUGGCGCUGGGAAUUCUAUAUCAGGUCCUAAAGAGAAGCAGGAGGUAAAGGUUCUACUCGAGAUCAGUAAUGGAAAUUCUCUCUGCAGAAACAGGUCAAGGGAAAGCGAACAAAGUUCUGAUGAAGAGAGAAUGGCUGAGAAUAUGGCAUCUGCAAAGAAGAAGCGCAACAAGAAGGGGUUCAGUAAUGACGAUGGUGGUUUUAGGGCUACCAAGAUAUCAAAGUUAAAGAAGAAGAUGACGCUGAAAGAACCAGAUGAGGAGGAUGAAUUGAAAGAUGACUUCAUCGAAUCAACUAGUAGAAAUUCUCUCUCUAAAAAGAGUUCAAGGGAAAUUGAUCGAAGCUCCGCUGAAGAGAGAGUGGCUGAGAAUAUAGCAUCUGCAAAUAAGAAGCCUAGCAAGAAGGGGUUCAGUAUUGACGAUGGUGCGUUUAGGGCUCGCAAGAUAUCAAAGAUAAAGAAGAAGAUAAAGAUGAAAGAAUCAGAAGAGGAUGAAUUGAAAGAUGAUUCCAACAAAUCAACACGUAAAUCUUUCACUCCUAGCGAUGGAGUUGGGGCUUCUCAAAUGGAGCCAGAAAUUUUGGGCUCGGAUAAUGGAGUUCUGGCUUGUGGGUCUGAGCCAAAGAUGGAGUUUGCAGCUAUUUCUUACUCUAGACGCAAGGUUAAGGCACUAAACAAUGGGCAAUAUACAGUAGAAAACCCCAAGGAAAUUGCAGAGAUUUCUCAGGCAAAGCAAUUGCGUAAACUCAGGCCAAGAAACAAUGUAUUCAGCGAGCGUAGGCCACAAAAGAAAGUACAAUGCACAGUUGAAAAACCAAAGAAGGCACUACCGGGUUUCAGCAACAUGUGCCAUCAAUGCCAAAGAAAUGACAAGGGAAGGGUGGUGAGGUGCACCAAAUGUGAUAGAAAGCGCUACUGCAUACCUUGCAUAACGAGAUGGUACCCUCUGUUGUCGGAGGAGAGUAUAGCGGAGGAAUGUCCUGUCUGUGUUGGGAAUUGCAAUUGCAAGGCAUGCUUGCGUUUGGAUAAAUGCCAACAGAGUCAUUCGAAAGAGAUAAGUAAAGAGGAAAAAAUUCGUCAUCUUCAGUAUUUGAUACACAAGGUCUGUCCCUUGCUCAGGCAAAUUCAUCAAGAACAAGAAGCAGAGAUGGAAUUAGAGGCUACCAUUCAAGGAGUACCUCCAUCUGAUAUACAGGUUCAACAGGCAGUUUGUUAUGAUGAUGAGCGUUUGUAUUGUAACAACUGCAGCACAUCCAUUGUGGAUCUACAUCGGAGCUGUCCAAACUGUUCAUAUGAUCUCUGUCUAAAAUGUUGCCAAGAUCUACGCGCAGGCUUCAGCCUUGGAGGUGGUGAAGAAGUUCAUUUGGAGUUUGUGUCAAGAGAGAAAACUUAUGUGCAUGGUGGGAGGCUUCAUUUGGGCAGUGAGAGGAAAAAGGAGUCUAAUGGCAUCAGGUCUUCUUCAUGCGAAGAUGUGCUGGCCUUUGAAUGGAAAACUGACAAUUAUGGCAACAUCUCUUGCCCUCAUACAAAGAUGGGAGGAUGUAGUGCUGGCCUUUUGGAACUAAAGUGUAUAUUUCAGGGCAAUUGGUUGUCCGAGCUGCUAGUUAAAGCUGACAAAAUGGCUAGCAUAUUCAGAUCUUCAGAGCUAUCAGAUAAUUUUGAUCCGUGCUCCUGUUCAAGUGAAAUAAUGAAUGGAGUUAAGGAAUUGCUUCGUAAAGCAGCUGAUAGAGAAGAAUCUGACGACAAUUAUAUUUACUGUCCAAUUGCUAGAGAUAUUAAAAAUGGAGACCUUGAGCACUUUCGAAUGCAUUGGACUAAUGGUGAGCCAGUGAUAGUACGCAAAUGUCUUGAUAGUAAACUGGGUCUGAGCUGGGAGCCAAUGGUCAUGCAUCGUGCAUUUCGUGAGAGGACUAACUCCAAAAUUGGAAUCGAGUUGCUCGAGGUGACUGCCAUUGAUUGUAUGGAUUGGCGUGAGGUUGAUAUUAAUAUUCAUCAGUUUUUCAAAGGUUACAUGGGGGACCGUGUGCCUCGUGGUGAGCAGCCAGCAAUGUUGAAGCUGAAGGAUUGGCCCCCAUCAAAUUUCUUCAAUGAGCUUUUGCCUCGCCAUGGUGCUGAGUUCGUUAGUGGGUUGCCAUUUCAGGAAUACACAAAUCCCAAAGUCGGUGUCCUUAAUCUUGCUGCAAAGCUUCCUGAGAAAUUCCUUAAGCCAGACUUAGGACCAAAAACUUAUAUUGCAUAUGGGAAUGCAGAUGAACUUGGCAGAGGAGACUCUGUAACCAUGCUGCACUGUGAUAUGUCUGAUGCGGUAAAUGUGCUGACACAUACAGCAGAGGUUGAGUUUUCUUCUGAACACUUGACUUGGAUAGAAGAGCUAAAGAACCAGCACAACACCGCAGAUAAAAUGGAAGCCCUUAAUGCCUGUGGAAUGAAUAAGAAAAGGGUUAAUCCGGGGCGCAGAAAAAGGGAAACACUUUCUAUAGAUGGGAAGGCCAUAGCGACUGGUUUAUCUGAUUCCAAAAGAAGAAAUGGUUCAAAUCUUGAUGUUGGAACUGGCCAGGAGGAAAACAUUUGCUUGCAUGAAGUGAAGGUUGAAACUUGUGAAGAGCACUGUAUCAAAACUAUGGAGAUAACAGGGGAUACUGGCUUUCCUGACUUUAUUUCUACAGCAAAGAGAACUGUUGAUGUUGCAAUUGUGGAGAGUAAUGGUUGGGAGACUGGUUGCCCUGGCAUCAAACAUAACGGUAAGGAUGGCGAGAGAAAAGGCGAUGCUGGUGCAUCUGUUGUUGGGCGAGAGGUGAUGGAGGUUGAUGAAGAUAUGGAUGAUGAACAUAGUUGUUCCAGGAAGUCUGAAGACUUGAAAAGAAAUCCUCAGAUGAAGGACAAAGAGCGGCCUGAAGUUUCUGCCAGUGAAUUGAAACUAAAGCGUGAGUUUGGUGGUGCUCUAUGGGACAUAUUUCGAAGGAAGGAUGUGCCAAAGCUGGAGGCAUACCUAAAAAAGCAUUCAAAGGAAUUUGGACAUGCUUCGGAUUGCCCACUUAAAGAGGUUAUUCAUCCCAUUCAUGAUCAGAGAUUCUAUUUAGGAGUGGAACACAAAAAGAAGCUUAAGGAAGAAUUUGGAGUGGAACCUUGGACCUUUGAACAACAUCUGGGGGACGCAGUCUUUAUUCCUGCUGGCUGCCCUCACCAAGUUCGAAAUGUGAAGUCUUGUAUUAAAGUUGCCAUGGACUUUGUGUCGCCGGAGAAUGUCUAUGAGUGCAUUAGAUUGACUGACGAGUUUCGGUUGCUUCCAAAGCACCAUCGAGGCAACGAAGAUAAGUUAGAGGUUCGGAAGAUUUGUGUCUAUGCGGUGAGCCAUGCAUUGGAAGAGAUCAAGAACUUGAAUUCCGCCACAGAAUCUGAACAAGGAUAUAAAGAGGUGCAGUCAGCCAUGCACAAGAAACAACAGUCGAAGCGCAAGAGAAGCACGUCCAACUGUUGAUCCCAAAGAAAUCUCCAUUCCCAGCAAAUGGAAACCCAAGGACUACCUUCCUCCCAUAUUUGAAGAAGCUGAGACUACGAUUGACGAAGUGUGCAUCUAAGACUUGGGGUGCCAGAUUUUGUAUGCUCUCUCAUCCUCCUAAUUGAGGAACACUGUGCAUGCCAAGGAGGUGUCUAUGUUUGUUAGGCCUCUCUAAUUUUGGUGGAUUGAAGAGUGUGCCAAAUUCUGCUCUCUCCAUGAUAACCGUGGGCUGCUCUCUCAAUUCAUUGUGACCACCAAGGGAUCACUCUUUGCUUGUCUCUCUCGAAGGGGCUACACGCUACUGUUACAGAUAUUCACUUCCUUUCUUUAAAUGCGCUCUCCACUUGUAUACUCAAUACUGUUGACAUUCUUCAUGGGCAUUCUUGUAUGAUUUUAGGCAACUUUUGAAGCAAUGAAUUGAAUAUAUGUGCAUGUGGAUUAUUCACCCACUACAUCUCCAUCUUGCAUAUGGGUUUGUGGAUCAUUUACCCUCUCUAUCUGGCUCAACACUUGGCGUGGAAAUGAUUAGGAAGG